UACGAAGGGGGCUAGCGUUGCUCGGAAUCACUGGGCGUAAAGCGCACGUAGGCGGAUCUUUAAGUCAGGGGUGAAAUCCUGGAGCUCAACUCCAGAACUGCCUUUGAUACUGGGGAUCUCGAGUCCGGGAGAGGUGAGUGGAACUCCGAGUGUAGAGGUGAAAUUCGUAGAUAUGGGGAGGAACACCGGUGGCGAAGGCGGCCACCUGGACGGAUACUGACGCUGAGACGCGAAAGCGUGGGGAGCAAACAGG
rnacentral:rRNA from 1 species